CACUUUGGGUCUCCAUUUUCCACAGGGACGGUUGACUGGGGGUACACUUGCCUAGUACUCCUGGAACAUCUCAGGGAACUCCACCUUUGUAUCACCAUCUGGUACCCAUCCGAGAUUUUGAUUGUUGAAUGUAAAGCAAGUGUGAGCGCACCAUACUCAACAAGUAUAACAUGAGGGGAUGCAAAGCUCAAAAGGCUUGACUUGAUUUGACUGCGAUAAGCAUUUUUAGUUGGUAAUAUUUUAUUAUUAAACCUAUGUUUCUAGGUUAUGCUUAAGCUCCCAAGGUGAGAAGUAUAAUAAUUAUCAUCAAUUUUAAUGAUCACCCAAACCAUCCAUAGGACCAUCUAUCUCGAAAAGGAUCCAGGCCGCUCGUGUCCGUGAGCACGGCUGAUAUAUCAGUUUUAAAACACUCUGCAGAGCUUGUACACUUUCACCAUGAGUCGUGUUACCCAUAUGCCCGAGGUGAUCAGCCUCUUGACCCACUUCCAAGGUAAGUCGGCAGGGUUCACUAUGAAGCCUUUCGAAAGUCCCCCUAACAAGUUAGUAGCCGCUAGGUUUCAGUGGCAAGUGUGCAUAGGUGUCCUCCUCCAAGAGGCACAUGUGGUCGCGGCACUGUACACACCAAGGUAGGAAAACAACUAUACACCACGAGGCACCCCCCUCUUGCGCCUUUCAGUAACCACUAACAAGUUAGAGAAGUUCAGUUUACUGAGCUAAAGCCAGAGCCAUGUAGCUCUCAUGGCUGUACGGUAAAUCCUGGGUGGCCGCUUUAAGAUCCAGUCCUUACGGAGGACAGACUAGAGCACCCAAAAAGGCCCAAUGCUCUAGCCCCCUUCUAUCCAUGUUGAUAAAAAACAUCAUUUUAUUAUUGAUUACAUAAUCUAUUAGUCAAUAUUAACAUUAUAUUGUUUAGUGAUUUCAGAGUAAGCAAAACUACCCAUAUGCAUAACCCAAGGUAACAAGGGAUUCAGGAUAACAAAGGUUCUAGGUAAAGUCCUUAGGGGUUUAUCAUAUUAGAAACAUGCACAUGAAGAGGUGAUUAAAUAGUUAUUAGGUAACAAGGGAACUCAUGUUACACUUGCCUUCCAAAACACUUGCUGAUGGUUCCACUUCACAAAGAUAUGCUCCUCGUGUAGCUCCACUUCUAACGUCAGCAAAUAUUUGGUACAAGCAUCACAAGAGAACCUAAAAACAAUACACCAAGCAUUACAAAACAAGAUUUAAAGGUUUUAAACGCUCAAGGCUUGCAACUAUGAGUGUUUGAGCGCAUAAACAACUAAACAAAGCUAUGGUUUAAAAGAUGUGAAAGAUCAAAGGUAGAAGCUAGAUGGUUUAGUAAAUGACCAGAAUGGGAUUAACAUGAUCGAUGAGUGCUAGCUUGGAAAGAUUUAUGGAGCACAAGGAUUUAUAGAUGAAUUAUUGAUGACUAUAGAGUUGUGUAUAAUAAGUUGGAUAGAACAUAGUGAUGUUAAUAUAAGAUUGUACAAGCAUCAGCUUGCAUAAGAGGGAGUGAUUGUUCUAACAUGGAUGAGAGAGUGCUUUCAGAUAUGUUCGGUGAUUAAUUGAAAACACAUCAUGACAAAACUGUGUAAAUUGGUGGGUGCUAGAUCAAUAGGGAGUGCUUCUGAAAUAUUUCCACCAAAUUGUGGGGUUGCAUCAAAGGUACAGUAAGUACACUAACUGAGAAUAUGUGCAACUGAAUACACACCAUCAUGUAAUUGGGCUCAGUGAUUCAUAUAGCAGUAUAGCGAGGGACGUGGUGAAACACCGAUGCAUCGAGGACAUGUACAUCGGCGGACAGCGAGGAUUAUGAUCAGAAAAGGCAUGGAAAUAGCAGCACCAAAUGGUGAUCUAUGUUGCGGUUAUGUUAAGCACUGUAUGGAGUAGAUGUUGGUAAAAGGACAAGUUACUUUGAGCGAUGAAUAAACAGGAAUGCGCAUGCCAACAGACAGGAUCUCUGUUGCGCGGCAGCAGGGACAGUGAGAAUAAGAAGGAUGAUAUCUCUUUGAUCUUGGAUCUUAUGACCAUGAAACUUUGCAGAGACAUGUGUGAGGAUGAUAUUUACUCUAUGGUGAAAGGGUUUGAUGAUUUUCAUCAUGAUUUUCUAGGGAAUGCCAAAACAAUUUAGUGCUAUGUGGCUGCUAGGAUAGCAGGGACAGCAAGUAUGAAAACUGACCAAAAACGCCAUCUCUGCUGAUCGGAUGGGUGACCAACUUUGCAUAACCAUGUGCAAGUAUGUGAUACACAUGUGCGUUGAAGGAAAUGAGCAAUGGAUUGUUAAAACAACGGGAACAUCAUUUCCAAAAACAGGAUGACUGCUUCUUGGACAGCAGGGGUAGCAGACAUCUCGACCUCGAUAUCUUGGCCAUCAUGGAUUGCACAGCCAAACAAACUGGUGGGAUCAUGUGCAUAGAUAUCAUGAACAUGUAUAUUUAAAGGCUUGGUCAUUUGGAUAGCAGAUUAGCGGGAAAUGCUAAUGCCAUUCAGAGCUGCAAGCUGUCAAGACAGCAGGAACAGCGGGCACAGAGAUGACGAUAUCACUGGUUUCUCUUCUCCUAUGGCAAAACCAAUUUACAGAGGUGUGUUCAAGGAUGUUAGCUACAAUUUCACCAAAGGGAUGGAUGAACAGAGUCAUGAAAUGGCGAGAAACACCGAUUUCGUCAACAGAAGCAAAGCUGAUCGCGAGGACAGCAACACAUAUCACAGAGAAACUUCGACAUAGAUCAACCAUACAUCAUCUAUGGUACAAGAUAUGCAGCGAGAAAUAUGAGAACAAAAUUGGGAAGAUGUUGGGGUGUUCUCACCAUGAGUUGUCAGAAAAUGGGGAUGAAGUUAACGGCAAACAACAUCGAUGACGGUGUUGACAAUGACACUGAUCAGCGGGACAGCACCACUGCCUCUUCAGAGAAGAUCGCUGCCACUCGGGAGAUCAAUUGGACAUAUGAGAGGGGCAUGAUCAGCAAGAUCAGAGAGGGAAAAGCAAGGAACAACCUCACCACACGCUGCACAGGAAUGGUGGCAAUGACGAUGAACAAGGUGCUGCUACUGUUGUGGGUUCGGGGAGACAGCAAGGCCCUCUAGGAUGACCUCCAUGUACUGUCGAAAGACUGGGCAUCUUCACAACAGAGAGGAGGCGCUGGAGAUUUCAUUAGGUUCAUCAUGAAGAACAUAGAAGAAAAUUCAUCUUACCAUAGCAUGGUGAAGGAUGCCAGCGAUGAGAUGAAACAUGCAGUGGCAAAUCAGAAUCUCUGCUGCGUGGGGUUCCAUUUUUGUGGAGAGAAUGGAGAGAGACUUAGAGCUGCAGCCAUGGGGAAGGGAGAGGAGGAUGGAGGGGGCUGUUUCUCUAGUGGUGGUGUGAGGGAGAGAGGAGAAGAGAGGGAGGCGCCCAGCUGGUGGAGAAAAGGAGGAGAUGAGAAGGCUUCUUCUGAUCCUUG
rnacentral:lncRNA from 1 species